CCUACGGGUGGCAGCAGUGAGGAAUAUUGGUCAAUGGGCGCGAGUCUGAACCAGCCAUGCCGCGUGCAGGAAGACUGCUCUACGGGUUGUAAACUUCUUUUAUAAGGGAGUAAAGUGAGGCACGCGUGCCUUUUUGAAUGUACUGUACGAAUAAGGAUCGGCUAACUCCGUGCCAGCAGCCGCGGUAAUACGGAGGAUUCGAGCGUUAUCCGGAUUUAUUGGGUUUAAAGGGAGGGUAGAGGGGUUGUUAAGUCAGUUGUGAAAGUUUGCGGCUCAACCUUCACCUCGCAUUUGAUACUGGCGUUCUUGAGUACAGUAGAGGUAUGCGGAAUGCGUGGUGUAGCGGUGAAAUGCAUAGAUAUCACGAAGAACUCCGAUUGCGAAGGCAGCAUAC
rnacentral:rRNA from 1 species